UGCUGUGAGCUCGAUGAGUAGGGCGGGACACGUGGUAUCCUGUCUGAAUAUGGGGGGACCAUCCUCCAAGGCUAAAUACUCCUGACUGACCGAUAGUGAACCAGUACCGUGAGGGAAAGGCGAAAAGAACCCCGGCGAGGGGAGUGAAAAAGAACCUGAAACCGUGUACGUACAAGCAGUGGGAGCCCCACCACCAAAGCAUUCUCUGGUGUUGAAGGCCCUGCAAAGCAGCAUCGCGGUGGCGGAGCGUCGUUUGCGACGCCCAACACACAAAACAAGCGGUGAGUGCUUUGGGGUGGGGUGACUGCGUACCUUUUGUAUAAUGGGUCAGCGACUUAUAUUCUGUAGCAAGGUUAACCG
rnacentral:rRNA from 1 species